CAACGCACAGCAGAGAUGGUGCCGCAUGCUGAGAAAGAAGAACUCGGAAAAAUGGAACAGAUGGCCUGUUGUCUGUUUCCACUUUGGUCAUGACAGAUGAGCAAUGGAUCCAAUUAUAUGGCUGGAAGGGGAAAGCCAUUGAAGACAUUUGGGAUCUACGGGGCUGGCUGUGGGGCCAUGGAACGGCACCAGGUGCGUGCAGUACUGGCUCAGGGGUAGCCAUGGUAACUACAGACGUGCUCCGAGAAGUCACACCCUGGACCACACAUCACUUGGGGAAGGAAGUGAGGAUGGAGGGGGUCACCACCAAGCCCAGCAGACGGUUCCUGCGGUCUGUGCGGACAAGGAGGAUAAGGACACAUCACCGGCACCACACAAAAGAGAAGGUGGUCCAGCCAUUGGCGGUGCCUUCCAGUGAUGACCAUGCCUGGAAAAUAGAGCUGCUUUAGUGACUGUCCUUCAGGACAGACAUCCUCUUGUCUAGAGUCUCUAGCAUGUGAAGUGACACUCUAGUCUUCAGGGACACGUCUCGACACGGGCCCCAGAAAGAGGCAACAGCUUUCACACGUUUCAAAUUCACUCUUGCAACGGUACAAUUGAAAUUCUUCCUGCCUCUGUACAUUUCAUUUUAAACAGCAAAUGUGAGAAUACAGCACAUGAAGACAAUUUAUGUCAAGAAGUAAAUGCCCACAAGGAUGAAGGAUUGAUGCGUCUGUAACUGGACCUCCGUGCCUUCCCACGUGGCCAUGCCAGGAUGGUGCCUUCCUCCAGGGCAAGAGCAUCUACCUUGAUAGGAUGUAUUUCUUUAUACUCUCCAGAAGCCAUGAGGAGACAGAUCCAUAGUUUUUAAUUCUGACUCCCAAUGAAAGCCGAUAUUGGUGACUGGUAUGACAAUUCUCUAAAUACACUGACUAAAGAAAAGCAAUAUGAUUAAAGAGAAGCAGCAGUCAAUAUUGACUCCAAGAAACUAUAAAUCUUGAUAUUCCAUACAACAAAUAUGUAUGUUUAUUAUUACUCAUUAGAACUGAUGAGCCAGAAUUCAAUGUAUCCAGCAAAGGAACCAGAUUUCUACUUGCCUACAGCAGAUGAUGCCUUACGCCAGGUAAAUAGUAGAAAAAAGCUAAUUUAAUUUUGUCAUCAGGAUUUCCCCACUGAGGAAGGAUAAAUUGAAAACAGACUACUAGGACACUUUCUAAUAUCUGUUUAUAAGAAUCAUUAAAGAGGCCCUACACUCUCUUUUUUAAAAUUUGUUUUUAAUAUUUACUUUUGAGAGAAAGAGAGACAGAGUACAAGUGGGGAAGGGG